UACAGAGGGUGCAAGCGUUGUUCGGAAUCACUGGGCUUAAAGGGUGCGUAGGCGGGUUGGUAAGUCCGUGGUGAAAUCCCCAAGCUUAACUUGGGAACUGCCGUGGAUACUAUCAAUCUUGAAUAUCGUGGAGGUAAGCGGAAUAUGUCAUGUAGCGGUGAAAUGCUUAGAUAUGACAUAGAACACCAAUUGCGUAGGCAGCUUACUACACGAUCAUUGACGCUGAGGCACGAAAGCGUGGGGAGCAAACAGG
rnacentral:rRNA from 1 species